AAUACUGGAUCUUCAAUGAGUUACUUUCUAUUUUUCACUCGGCAACCGGCUGCAGAUUUCACUCGGCCAACUUCGGUUACUCCUCUACACCAAACCAUGUUUCCAAACAGAGUUAUCUUUCCGUGACCCGCAAAUUAUAUUUUUAACAAUGAGUUGAAUUCUAUAGGAGGUGUUGGAACUCCCGCAAACAGUGCCGGUGGUGCAAAGAAGAAAUGGGAAACAUUACCAGGCUGCCAGACACGCCCCAUUGAUAACAAAGGUCUGCCUGCUGCCGCUGUACACAAAACACCCAACCCAGAACCAAUCGAUGCCACAAAAUUGCCGCUAGCAGAAAAAAUUCGACGACUUUCAAUGUUUUUACGAAGUGAAAAAAAAGUAAUCAAUGAAAUUAUGUUGUUUGAGAAUUCUCUGAUGAGUUGUAAAGUUGGAAUUUGACCAGAUUUUUUGAUCGAUGGCAUGGUACAAGGAAAGAACGGAUCCUUUUUCACUGGACGACUUAAUCUGGGUGGUGUGUUCCUAGCCAGAGCUAUCGGCAUCAACAAGAAAGAAAUCAAACUGUCAUGUUUCAAGAAGGCGGUGGAACUUUAUCGUACCCUUCCUGUCACUGAAAUUUUGAACCAGGAUGAUAUGACCCCAAAAGUUAUCAAGGAGAAACUGGAGAAUUUUAACUCGACCGUUGCUAAGAUGGAGAAAGAAACAAUUGCAGAGUUACCCCCACCAUCUAUUUUGAAACAGAUCCAAGAUAUUCUAACCAAUCCUAAAUAUGCUUCAACCAAUUCAGUCAGCAAAAUGGAGUUGGCGGCCUCUGUGGCUAAAUGUCGAGUCCGUUGUCGAUAUGAUGUAGAGAGUUGUAAAGCUGAAUCAGGGAAAGUUUAUCAUAAGGGAAUGUACUUUAUUGACAACAUACUACAAGGUGCAGGUGUUUCAGUUUCCAAAAAAACUGCUAAGUCAUUGUGUUAUAAUAUGGUGGUUGAACGACUGACCACCAUGAAUGUUGAACAUGGCAACAUCUUAGAUGGUGUCGAACAGUCUGUCAUAACAGAAGCAGAAGCACAGGUUCAGAGCACUUUGGUAAAGGCAGCACCAAAUCCUAGGGCAUUUGAUCUCCGUGAACAGUUUGUCAAAAUGAACGAACUUAGCAGUGCCACGCAUCCUGCAUCCAUCAUUACUGUCUUGGAUGGAAUUUUCAACGAUGUAAAAUUGACGCCCAUUUGUCUAUACCGUCGUAGCAUGAACACAGAAAUAGAAAAGGAGAAAAUUUUCUGUAACCUCUAUCUAGCUGGUCAUCUCAUCAUGAUUGGUGAAGCAGAGAACCGAACAGAUACCCAAGCAGACGCUUACUCUAAAGCCCGAUAGGUUUCACGAACUGUGACCCCGAGUUCAUCCUCCCCCAACACAGUAAACUUCAACCACACGACCAAGCAGCAACAGAUGUUAUCGACUUUCGUGUCAAGGGCAACUGCAUUUUGGAAGAUAACUGUUCGAAUCUUCAUCGCUUACAAUGGACCCGAAAACCUAUAUCAACACUACCAGCCAAGGAUAUCGCUGUCUUUGAGGACGUCAGUUGGAUAGUAGAUCGUAAAGUUCAAGGUUUCUAUAUUUUACAACAUUCAUGUUUUGUCAACAAUAUGUUGUUGGAAUGGGAGUUUUUUGACAAUGAUGAUCGUGUAUUCAGAUGUCAGAUGAAGAUACAGAAGGAAGAUGUUGGAACCGAACCUGCAGUGUCUCUUAGUAAGAUAGGCUCUAGAAAUUUUGCAGCAGCUGAUAUCUUGUUUAAGCUCUACGAAACACAACCAGUCAUAGAGGUUUCUGCUUACACUAAACCUGAUCAAGCGAUAGAAUCUGUCAGUUUUGAUACGUUGCUUAAAGAAGCGGAGGUGUUGAAGAAAGCUGCCGAGGAUGCAGGAGAAAACGUUACAGCUACUACAGCUGAGGGAACUGAUUCAGAAACUGAGACCAGUGACACAGAUGUUGAAAUGAAGGAAGAAGUAACAGAUUCACAGGCUAAGAAGAAAUAUCCUAGAAAACCACAUUACCGUCAUGCUGAUAGAUUUAUUUUAAAAGCUGCCCAGGCACGACUAGACGAAUUCAUAAAAGUUAAAAUGCUAAAAGAUCUACUGUUUGGACCUGCUUUCCCUCAUCAUAUCACACGCCAGAUUAACGGCUUACUGUAUAACCUCCCCGUUCCAGUUCGCUUUAUAAAUCAUUCCACUAGAAAUCAGAUGUACACCAUUGUAACGCAAAGUAUGUCACCGAUCAAAAUUGUCGCAUUUCUCAAAGCCAACGGUGGACAGUCUGGUCGCUUUCGUUUAGUCGACAAAUCAGAACUUCCGACACAUAAGGACAUUUUACCAGAACUUAAAAGUAGGGAAAUUUUAACUAAGAUCAAAUCCAAAUUUUAGUAGAAAUUUCAAUUUUGAUUGGCUAAGCACUAAAACCAAUCAAAUUGUUGGCUUUUUUUUGCUAAUAAAUAUAAGUGCUAGUCUAA